rnacentral:rRNA from 1 species
CGGACGGGUGAGUAAUGUCUGGGAAACUGCCUGAUGGAGGGGGAUAACUACUGGAAACGGUAGCUAAUACCGCAUAACGUCGCAAGACCAAAGAGGGGGACCUUAGGGCCUCUUGCCAUCGGAUGUGCCCAGAUGGGAUCAGCUAGUAGGUGGGGUAACGGCUCACCUAGGCGACGAUCCCUAGCUGGUCUGAGAGGAUGACCAGCCACACUGGAACUGAGACACGGUCCAG